UACAGAGGUCUCAAGCGUUGUUCGGAUUCAUUGGGCGUAAAGGGUGCGUAGGUGGCGCUGUAAGUCGGGUGUGAAAUUUCGGAGCUUAACUCCGAAACUGCAUUCGAUACUGCGGUGCUUGAGGACUGGAGAGGAGACUGGAAUUCAUGGUGUAGCAGUGAAAUGCGUAGAUAUAGGAAGGAACACCAGUGGCGAAGGCGACCACCUGGACUGAUACUGACACUGAGGUGCGAAAGCGUGGGGAGCAAACAGG
rnacentral:rRNA from 1 species